rnacentral:rRNA from 1 species
GACGAACGCUGGCGGCGUGCUUAACACAUGCAAGUCGAACGAAGUGGCGAACGGGUGAGUAAAACGUGGGUAACCUGCCCUCCUUUGUGGGAGAAGACUUGGAAAAGGGGCCUAAUACCGAAUAAAGGGGGAUGGGAUCGCAGCCUAUCAGCUUGGUGGGGGGGGGCUGGCCUAUCAAGGCUGUGACGGGUAGCCGGCCUGAGAGGGUGCCCGGCAACAUUAGGACGGACAUACGUCCCAGGGUCCUACUGGAGGCGGCAGUGGGGGAUAUUGCACAAUGGGCGAAGGCCUGAUGCGGCGACGCCGCGUGGGGCAUGCGGGCUUUCGGGUUGUAUACCUCUUUCGCUAUCGACCGGGUAGGUGGAGAAGAAGCGCCGGCUAACUACGUGCCAGCAGCCGCGGUAAUUC